rnacentral:rRNA from 1 species
GACGAACGCUGGCGGCGUGCUUAACACAUGCAAGUCGGACGGUCGGCACUGGAAGGUUCGCUGGAAGGUGCCGGUAGUGGCGGACGGGUGAGUAACGCGUGAGGACAUGGCUCCAGGAGGGGGAUAACGUUUGGAAACGGACGCUAAGACCCCAUAUGCCGGAAGGUGAAAAUGGUGCAAGCCAGCCUGGAGAGUGACUCGCGUCCUAUCAGCUAGUUGGUGGGGUGAAGGCCUACCAAGGCGAUGACGGGUAGCCGACCUGAGAGGGUGGCCGGCCACACUGGAACUGAGAUACGGUCCAGACUCCUACGGGAGGCAGCAGUGGGGAAUAUUGGACAAUGGGCGCAAGCCUGAUCCAGCAAUGCCGCGUGUGUGAAGAAGGCCUGCGGGUUGUAAAGCACUUUCAGUGGGAAGAACAGAUUCGGGUCAAUACCCGGAGCCCUGACGUUACCCACAGAAGAAGCACCGGCUAACUCCGUGCCAGCAGCCGCGGUAAUGUGUG